ACGCCGAGAAGCAGCCAAACGGACGCCGCGGCUGCCGGGGUGUCCCCGAGCAUGGAGCAGCCGGCGGGGGCCGCAGGCGGGCGCUGCGCCCCGGGCUGGCAGCGGGCGGCGAGAGCGGCCAGGAGCAGGAUGCGCUCAGAGGGUGAGGCCCCCGGGCCGGCGGCUCCACUGUGCGGGGCGCUGAGCCUGGUGUUGAGCGCGCUGCUGGGCAAAGGGAGAACAGCAGCCGAUUUGGAUUCCAGAGAGAUUAACCAAAACAAUUUCUACAUACCAAAAGGAAGCUGAUUUGACUCAAAUACAUAACAGCUGAUAUCCAGAACUCCAGCUUGGCUAUUCUUACAUCUGCGACAGUGAUUAACCAGGAUGCUUUUUUCAAUAUCUAUUUUAUUAUUGCUUUUUCCCACAUCAUAAAGUUCUAUUUUAUUUUUGAGCUCAUACAGACCUAGGUUAAUGUUUUUCUUAUCGGUUUUAUUUUUUGACUGUGGAGUUUUUAAACAUUGCAAUGGAGAUUUCACCUAGGUAAAGCUACAAGGCCUUUACUAUUGUCUUACAUGUUGUAUGUUACGUGUGCACACUUCUGUUUUGUGUUGUAUGUCUGUAUGUGCAUAUGUCCAUAUAUCAUAUAUGAGGAGUGCUCAUGAUUAUGGAUCCGAAUUUUUUUUUAUUAUUCACGUGAUUUUAAUAGUUUAAUUUAUUUGGGUAAACAGCUGUUGAGGAUUGUUUUAAUAUAUGAACAAAUAGGAAGUUAACAGAUCUGUUUGUUUAUUUUCACCUUUCCUUUUCAUUAUAUGUAAUAAUUCUGUUCAGGAUAAUGUAAAUUGUUCUAAAAAUUGUUUUCUUAGUACCUGUUGAAAUGUUACAUAUUUUUUUUAGCAUCAUUGUCAGAAUUCCUAUUUUCAUCCCAGUGCCGGUGAAGACAAAGAUGAAACCAAACUACAACUUCUUCAAGAGUUAUCACAACAGACUGUAUAAACUGAUACAUCAAUGAUUAAUAACUCAACAAGUAAUGCUCAAUCAAUGAGUCAAUUUAUUUUUGGAGGAUAUGGACAUAUUGAUAGAUUCUGCUGCUUUGAACUGCUUACAGAACUUGCCUGGACUAUGUAUCAAUUGUAUGCAUUGUGAUCUAUCUGUUGAUGCAGUGAAUUAUGGUAGUGCUAGCAUAUCUUUGCUGAUGUGUCACCAGUGAUGCAAUUUUUCCUAGGAGCCAUCCAUUGACUCGGCGUUGUUGCAUUUCUGUAUCCUCCUCCCUUCUACUAGUGAUGGUCUAAUUUGGGGGGCCAACAGAGGUGAGGCAAAGAACCUCAACCCCCCACUGGUGCAUAGGCCUAUCCACAAGUAUGGCUAUAUGCUGGACCGGUAGUCAGUGACAGGUAUGAUCCAAUUGCAGUGGUAUCAACCUAAGACAGGAGGCUGACGCCUAGAGGUCAGUUUUCCGAUGAUGGGUAAAAACCAUAUGAUGAAUUGGACAAACCUAACAGGCACGGUCGCUAGCCAGAUUGCUUGUUGCUUAAACAGAAGGGGGGAGAUCCUAAGAGCCAAGUAUAUGAUGCAUGGCAUUUUUGGUUGAAAGGUGAAGCCAGCUAGCCAUUGAGAUGAUAUGAUUAUGUUAAGAUUUGCAUUCAUAUGGAUAUUGGACUCCUGCUGUUCACCUUGGCCUGCUAUGGGACUCCUGGAGAGUUCCCAUUGGUUGGGGAAGUACAAUAGGAGGGAGUUCUGGGGGAGGAACUUCCUCUGGGCAUGCUGGGUGGGUGGAUCAGGGACAGAACAUUGGCGGCAGUUUCAAAAAAUAAAGUUUGUUCCUGCUUGA